rnacentral:rRNA from 1 species
GUGGGGAAUAUUGGACAAUGGGCGAAAGCCUGAUCCAGCCAUGCCGCGUGUGUGAAGAAGGUCUUCGGAUUGUAAAGCACUUUAAGUUGGGAGGAAGGGCAGUAAGUUAAUACCUUGCUGUUUUGACGUUACCAACAGAAUAAGCACCGGCUAACUUCGUGCCAGCAGCCGCGGUAAUACGAAGGGUGCAAGCGUUAAUCGGAAUUACUGGGCGUAAAGCGCGCGUAGGUGGUUCAGCAAGUUGAAGGUGAAAUCCCCGGGCUCAACCUGGGAACUGCCUCCAAAACUGCAUGACUAGAGUACGGUAGAGGGUAGUGGAAUUUCCUGUGUAGCGGUGAAAUGCGUAGAUAUAGGAAGGAACACCAGUGGCGAAGGCGACUACCUGGACUGAUACUGACACUGAGGUGCGAAAGCGUGGGGAGCAAACAGGAUUAGAUACCCUUGUAGUCC